rnacentral:rRNA from 1 species
UACGUAGGGUCCGAGCGUUGUCCGGAGUGACUGGGCGUAAAGCGCGCGCAGGCGGCCUGUUAGGCACGACGUGAAAGCCCCGGGCUCAACCCGGGAGGGUCGUCGUGAACCGGCGGGGCUUGAGGGCGGGAGAGGUCGGUGGAAUUCCCGGUGUAGUGGUGAAAUGCGUAGAGAUCGGGAGGAACACCUGUGGCGAAGGCGGCCGACUGGGCCGACCCUGACGCUGAGGCGCGAAGGCGUGGGGAGCGAAACGGG